AGGGUGUCGGCGGGGUGGGUCUUGUAGGUGACGGCGGCGGACUUACGGAUGUCGUCGUCGUCGGUGAGUGGAGCUUUAGCAUCAAAAAUUUGGUUGAAAUCUGCUGAGAAAGAUGACUGCUAAGGGAGAAGAAGAAAAAAAGGAAUAUGCAGACAAAAAUUGCAGGUGGGCCCCACAAUUCGAAUUUAAAAAAAUCAUUAACGUUGACUGACGGCGUUUGGUUAGAGGGCUUUAAGUGUACGAUUUUUUGAACUUUAGGGGCUAAUUUGCACACACAGUGAGUAUGGGGAGCAAUACGCUAUAAGGGCCUACACUACA
rnacentral:lncRNA from 1 species